CGGAGGCUGGAGCCGGUACGUCCCCGGAGGUGUCGGAGCCACGGGGGCCCGCGGUGCUCCGGGGGGACAGGGCCUGCCUGGAGCCCUGACGCACGAGCAGGCUGCCCGCAAGACUUCCCCCAUGACGAUGAUGAUAAGGACAACAGCCUCCCAUCUAUCGUGGUCACGUCAAGUGCGUCACAUCCGGGACAUCCUCGUGCCCUCCGGAGGCCAACGAUCUCCGGCAGUCACGACGGGCACUUCUGCCUGGCAGUUGCACCAUUUCUGGAAAUCCAGACACGGCUUCCUCACCCCCACCCCAGCCCCAGGGCAGUGGGCCCCUCAGGCUCUGGGCAGGGCACUGGCAGGGCGCAGCGGCUAAGAGAAAACGGGGUCCCCAGGGGCGCCUCAAGUCCUUCUUCACACAGUUCUAUUCACGGGCCGGCUCAGGCCAACGCUUGCUGUCCACACAGUGUGUGCUGCUACACUUUACCGCCUAUGCGUCUCUCAACAGCUUCAUGAAGCUGUGGCUACCAGGCCUGAUUUAUACAUAAGACACUUGCUAUCUGAAGAAAUUAAACAACUUUCCCCAAAGUACACACAUCAUGGUGGAGUCCGGAUUUGAGCACAAGGAUCACCUGGGUGUCCUGUACGUGCCAAGGGCUUUUUAAUGCAUUUCCAAUGACAGAAUUUCAGGACCAGUUGCUAAGCCUCGUGAGCUGGCCUAGCAGGUAAAAAUGGCCCGUGUAGUUGGGCAACGGGAGUAGGUUCCAGACAAGCGGCUGCUAUGGCCCCGCGUCUAGCUGGGGUCUGGGCAAAUGUUUGGUGCUAUUUCUGAAAGGCCCUGAGUUGGAGCCGCAGGCUCUGGGUAUCCUGGGGGGCAGCCCAUGCGCGUCUGGGAGGCUGGGCCACAGGAAUAAGGCCACAGCCGCAGAGAUUCAAGCGCAGGAUUUUGCCCGAUAAUUCACCUUUUUAAAAGAGUAAACACGUCUGGUCCUCUAAGGACACAGAAGAGGCCUGGUGAAAUGCACCGAUCCACGUGUGGUGGCCCCGUGGAUUCAUACGCACGCACCCUCCUCGCUCAGAGCUGGAGCUAAAACCGGCGGUUUCCAGACUCCCUUGCCGCCAGGGUGCAAGAUGGGAACUACUUCCUAUCACCCGGACUCGCGUGGGGCCCUGAAUUAUCCGGAAGAGAAAUGCGGGCGGCUUCCCGCCUUAGGAGGCGGCUUCUGGGAGACGGUGGGGCAGCAGCUUCUUGACUGCACACGGGCAGAAGGCCCCGGGCUGCACAGCCUGCAUGGCGGGCUCAGGAGCCCUUCCUGGGCGCUCCUUCCCGGACGUUGCUAUGGUCCUGCCGGGCCUCUUCAAGGUCUUUAAUCCUUCGUAAACGCCUCUUUGUCCAAACCAUCUUAGGUGGAUUCCCUGGCCUGCCACCCGGAACUCUGACCACGCCCCGAAGGAACGCGUCUGCGUGGCUGGGUCCACCCUCUUUACUCCGACCCAGGCCCACCUGACCGGAGGGGCGCCGCUGCCCUCCCUGGGACCAGGACGGCCGCUGCGCUGGAGCAGCUCAGCGACGUCGUCUGCAGUAGAGGACAGGGGCCACCGCGCCCUGCAGGCUUCCACGUGGAACGUGGUGCGUUCCCAGCACCGCGCCCCCACCACACACAGUGAACAGCGCCCCUGGGAGCUCACCUCCCACACGCAGACCAGCCAAUCCAGAGCCCUCCGAGGGCCCCACCCACCUCCUCUGUGGGGCUCCAUCCCCAGGCCCCUGCCCAGCCGCCCCAGGCACACGAGGCCCCAGGUGAGGAAGGGCAGCUCCUACUACGCCCGGGCCGGCUGACCGUCUUCACACGCGCCAGGCCCGAGCCUCCGCAGCCUGUCUCGAAGUUGCUGCCCACACGCUGCCCGCACUCCCUCCGCCUUCUGACCGCCCUGGGCCUCUCUGCGUGGGCCCGGGGCACGGGAGCUGCCCCCUUCUCGUGGGGUCUGUGAUGGACACAAAACCCUUUUGCAACGGCAGCCAUCUACUCACCAGCUCGCCUUGCCACACCUAAGUAAUAAUAAAACCCGUAUUUUGAAACACCCUU